rnacentral:rRNA from 1 species
AUUGAACGCUGGCGGCAGGCCUAACACAUGCAAGUCGAACGAGUGGCGGACGGGUGAGUAAUGUCUGGGAAACUGCCUGAUGGAGGGGGAUAACUACUGGAAACGGUAGCUAAUACCGCAUACCAUCGGAUGUGCCCAGAUGGGAUUAGCUAGUAGGUGGGGUAAAGGCUCACCUAGGCGACGAUCCCUAGCUGGUCUGAGAGGAUGACCAGGCACACGGGAACUGAGACACGGUCCAGACGCCUACGGGAGGCAGCAGUGGGGAAUAUUGCGCAAUGGGCGAAAGACUGAUGCAGCAAUGCCGGGUGUAGGAAGAAGGCCUUCGGGUUGUAAAGUACUGGCAGCGGGGAGGCGUUACCCGCAGAAGAAGCACCGGCUAACUCCGUGCCAGAAGCCGCGGUAAUAC